UCAGUUUUACUUUCUCAUUCUCUUCUGGGUUAACCCUUGCCACUUUUCCCGCAAUAUUAAAGCUGAUGUCUCUGUUCAGUCUUUGCAUUUCUCCAAAUGAACAUUAGGACAUAGCUGCACAAUUUCGUCACAGUCCACUGAAAAGCUGCCAUUCCCUUUCAAGUUUCACUUACCAAAAAAUAAUUAUAUCCCCUCAACUGAAUUUAGUUUCAAUCUUUCAAUUAUAUCAAUCACAAAGUAGAAAAAAGAUACUUUGUCGACAUUAACUGCAAUUUUUGACCGCUGGCUAUGAAAAUCACUCCAGUGAAGCCUCAUUUUUUCAAACCCAUUCAACCAGGUUUCAAGCAGGGUCUGGUUGGAGAAAUGCAUGAAGGACAUUUUUAAAAUCCAACAAGAAAGCAUGGAAUUUCUUUAAUACAUAUACAUGGUCUGAGCAAAAGCUAUUGGGUUCGGCUGAACCUGUAGCUAUGGUGUACAUCCGCCCCUGGUCCUAUAAAGAUGAAGGCUUGGGACAUGUUUUUGUGCUUUUUUGUAGUGAAAUGGUUAUUGCCCGGCUGUCUGAACUCUGAAGAGGCAUUUGUUAGCUGUGAAAUGUGGAAAGUUGGGAAAUCUAUCAUAAAGACUUGGAAAAUGGUCCCAUUUUGUGUUAUUUGGUUGGAAGGAGAGGAAUCAGAGGUGUUUUGAUGGAGUCUCAACUCCAAUUCAUGUGCUGAAGACUAGAUGUUUAUUGAACCUUUUUGCUUGGUGUAACCAUUUUAAUGUGAAUAAUGCAGUUAUGCUUUUAGAUUUUGUAAGCUCCUUGAAUUUAUUAGGAGUGAAAGGAAACUAUAGAAGCCCCCUUUUUUGCACUGCAAUUGCAUCGUGAUUAACGAUAAUUCAACUUUUGCCUGCUUAAAAAAAGGUAGGGAAUAUGGUAGAGUUUCAGGGCCUAAACAAAACAGCAUAAUGAUUUGGGACAAGUUUUUGUUGUACUGCAGAAAAUUCCUGUAGGUUUCUUGAGGUAUCUGAAGGGAUAUAAGAAUGAAUAUGCAAUACUAAGAAAGGGUGGUAACUGGUAAGAAGUGGCUGGUGAAGGUGAACGACCAUCGAUUGGAAGAGGGUUGGGGAAAGUUUGCGGAGGAGCAUGAUCUGCAAUUGGGAGAUAUAUUGGUGUUCAGACAUGAAGGGAACAUGGAGUUUGAGGUUACCAUCUUUGAUUCGAGUCACCGUGACAGAGUAUCUGCUGGACGAAGAAGAAGCCAAUAAUGUUGAAUUCAAAGGUAAGAUGUUUAGAGUCCAUUUUUAUAUACUUGAUGAAUUUGCAAGUUGAUUCCCUUUAUCUUGACAUAAAUUUCAAUUUGUUUAGAAACUUUAGCCAAAAGAUGGGGUGGAUGUUUAGACAUUACUUCUACUUUAAUCUUUUUGACUUAUUUAAUUUUUAAUAUGGAUUUUCUUACAAUUUACAAUGUAACGGACAAACCAAAUGCAGAAGCUGCUACUCACAACCCUUUUGGUCAAUCUCAUUUUUCAUGCAUUGUUAGAGCCUCUUGGCUUAAAGGUUACUUGGUAAGUCUCAAAAUUCAUUUCCCCCCAAACCCUUCAAGAUAUAUGUACCAUUUUUCCGCUCUUUGUUAACUAAAAUCAAUUACCGCGAAAAUAUGAAGCAUAUGAUAAGUUUGAUGAUAUGUGCAAAUCUGUUAUAAACCUUAUGGCUUGUUAAAUGGUUACUUUGUAGGUCUCCAAACUCAUUUACCCUAACGCUUGAAGAAUCCUUUUGUUUUCUCUCUUUUUGAAUUGGAGCGGAAAAUGGUCUCACCAACAAGAAUUGUGGUUUGAUUAUUAGAGAUGAAACACAAAGGUCAUGGAAUUUAAGGCUGUAUACUUCCUGUUCUCGAGUCUAUAUUGGAGGUAGAUGGGGUGAAUUUCGUGUUGCAAAUGACUUAGAGGUGGGAGAUCGUAUAAUGUUUGAGAUUGUUACUAAUGGAGAAAAACCAAUCUGGAAAUUUCAUGGCAAAUAUUCUGUAGAGGUUGCAAAGAGAGAGGACCAUUGAAGCAACUGGACUUUUUGGUCCUUGAUCUUUAAUUUGGCUGAGAUUGACUCCUAUAGUAUUUCUUUUAAUCUUGUUGAAGAUAAUAGAGAUACAGUUGUAAGAAUAACCUAUAAAGAAGCUAUGGCUUCUAGAGUUGCAGCCUUUUGGAAAGAUACUAUUAAAGAUGAGAUGAAUUCAAUAAUGUCAAAUCAUACUUGGGAACU